ensembl:lncRNA novel transcript
UUUAAUUUUUUUUUUUUUUUUUUUUUUUUUGGUGACAGAAAACAAAUGCUCCUUUCUGGAAAAUUACUCCGGCCUUGAUUUCUGCAAGUGCACUGAGCUAGGCAUGGACAAUAAGAGUGAGCAAGACGGGGUUACCUCCAAGGGGAUCCCUGUCUCGCAAGGCAGACAGGCUUGCCCAGCAAUAAUUAUACCACCAAGCAUUAAGCCUCAUGCUAUCAGCGGAUACACAGAACUGUGGGAGCACAAAAUGAAAUGUUCACUUUGCCUGAAGAGGUAGAGAAGGCAUCACAGAGGAAAUGGUGCCAUUCUGGACCUUGAAGGAUAGAUCCUCUACGGAGUGGAAGAGGAGGGCAUUCAGACAGUGGGAGAAGCACAUGGAAAACCAUGACAUGUUCAACAUUUUGCAAAAGUCAAGUGGUGCCAUGUGACUGGAGGAUGGUGCUGUGUCAGGUGGCAGGAAAGAGAGGAGCCUGGGAGUGCUGACUGUGGUCUGUAUUAGUCCGUGCUCAUGCUGCUAAUAAAGACAUACCCAAGAUUGGGUAAUUUAUAAAGGAAAGAGGUUUAAUGGACUCACAGUUCCACAUGGCUGGGGAGGCCUCACAGUCAUGGUGGAAGGUAUAUGAGGAACAAAGGCAUGUCUUACAUGGCAGCAGGCAAGAGAGUGUGUGCAGGGGAACUGCCUUUUAUAAAACCAUCAGAUCUCAUGUGACUUAUUCACUAUCAUGAGAACAGCAUAGGAAAAACCCACCCCCAUGAUUCAAUUACCUCCCACUGGGUCCCUCCCAUGACAUGUGGGGAUUAUGGGAGCUACAAUUCAAGAUGAGAUUUGGGUGGGGACACAGCCAAACCAUAUCAGGACCAACCCCAAAUUGCCUUGUAUGUCUCAUGAAGUAGAUUCAAUAUAUUUCUGAAGACAAUGAGGACCCAUGAAAGUUUUGUCAGAUUUCCAUUUUAAAAGUGCCUUUGCAGGAGCAGUGGCUAGAAUAACAACAAAACAAGCCUCAGGACCCUACCCCUGUCUUUGAGGGGAGGCACCAUGGUUAUCUACCCUGGGGGAUUGUAUGGAGAGGGCAGAGCCAGGGGGAUAUUUCUGAGGUGGCAUGCACAGGACUUGAUGGGUGUGGUUCAGGGAGAGAGAAAGGAAGGGGCCAACGAUGACUCGAGUUUUGGACCAGCACUGGCAGGGAGAAGAUGAAAUGGAAGAUCUUUGGAGUCAGACAGACCCAGCCUCCAAUCCCAGGUGGACCACUUUUGAGUUUUGUGUUCAUGGGCAAGCCACUUCUCAAAGGCACCAUUUCCUCUCAAAAGAGGAGGAGUAGUUAACUGUCUCAAUGAGGGUUGAUGAGAUCUUGGAGGCCUUGGACAGAGUGGCUGCAGGACAGGCCCUGUUGUUAUUAUUUUAGGUAGGCUCAAAGCCAUUCUCUGUAUCAUAAGACCAGGAGGUCUUUGAAGGCAGGAUCUGUGUCUGUGUCCUUAACCUGUGGGGACGCUUCCUCAACUAUUGGUUCUUUAUUUUUCAGCUCAGCCUAGGACAAAGAAAGCUGGAACAUUGUGAGUAUGGCUUAGGGAUAUUAGGGAAAGGAAUGCUGGAGUUUCUAUCCAGGAAGGCGGUGGGAUAAUUCCUUCACUCAGGAGUGCUGGGGGACUUGCAGCAGUGGGGUGCUGCUGGCUCAGGAUCUGAUGGAGAUGAAAAUUUUAAAUGCUUGGUAACUGCUAAACAAUUAAAGCUGCAUUAGAGUCCAGACCAGAGCUUAAUGUAGGAGAAACAACAAUUGAUCCCAGGCCCUGGUACUUCUGAGUUGUCUCUUCUGCCUGAGCUCAUCAAGGAGUUAAUUCUAGGGAGAAUGGAGCCCUGGACAAAAGUGCUCACCAGGAUGCAGAACUGAGAGAAACUGAAGCAGCGGAGAAAAUUGAGGUCUAAGAAGCAGACUGAAAUAACCAUGGUAAAGGAGGGGGACUGCACAUACCACAUGCAGGGCUUGGGAGCGGAUGGGUGCAGGGUCAGCCACCCUGCUCUCAGAGCAGCUGGCCUCCCCAGACCCAGAAUCGCUUCUUCAUCCUCAGAGUAGAAACUAGGUCAGGCCUCCAAAAAGGAGUUAAAAGUCUCAGCUGCAGAGAGACCCCACUAGGCGCAAUCAGCCAGUGCUCUGCUUCCCUUGGCUUCAUGCAGACCCUUCUUGGAACUCUGUAGCCACAUUUGGCCUCCACAGUUUAAGAGAAAUCAAGAAACUGGAGAGGUGCCAAAGGACAGCAACAAACAUGAUUAGAAAGAGUGAGAAUAGGACCCAGGGGGUACAUUAAAGAAAUUGGGGUUGAUUUGCCUGAAACAGUAGAGACAAAAUGGGAACUAUAUUCAAGUACAUGAAGUGGGACCAGUGUCUAGUUAUUUGCCAAUUUUAAGGGCACAGAAUAAGAGGCAAAGGGCCUAAUUUGCCACAAGAGAGAUCAGGUAAAGACGGAGUUUCAAUAAGGCAUGUAGGUCUUGGGAUGGCUUUUCCUGCGUUAUCGUAAAGUAGGUCUGGCCUCUCUCCCUAGGAAGAAACCUGCUGGAGAUUGGAUAGGGAGGCCAAGACUUGUCCCCAGAGCACCUUGGAGUCCUCCCCCAGCCUCCAUCCACCCCAGCCCUCCUGGUUUCUGGGAGUCCAUGCAUCCUUGCAGGAACAGAAACCUGACACUUGAGUGGCCAGCCUGGGUGGUGGGGCCACUAUGCUUCCUCUGGUGAUUCUCUCUAAGAGAAAGAGCAAGCAUGACCUUUCAUCACAUCUUCUCUUGGAUGCAUUCAAGAUACAGCCACCAGCAGAGCCCCAGGUACUUUGGCAGGAGGUGAAAAAUGUCUUACAACUUCCGGAAACGGCAGUCCAGAUCAGAUCACUGUGUGACUGGCUAACCGUGUAGUGGGGAUACUCAGACAAUCUUGUGAGUCUUCAUGGCCUCAGCCAGUUUUGCUUUGGGAGCUGUGGCUUGGUAUCUAUCACCGCGAGCGAGCUCAUUCAGCCAACCAACCUUCAUGGAAGGAAUCAAGUCAAGAUGUACAACCAAGCACGUGUGCCUGCCCAUCCCUCCUGCCCUGAAGACACGGCACAAAAGAAACAUUUAUCUACAGACAGGAUAACUGUGCACUUUGUUUACAAAUCAGGACUCUAGUGAGAGAGAAAGGGACUGCCGUUGAUAAGUACAAUAGGACAAGACUGGGACCCAUGGCCACCCUAUCUACACCCUGUUUUCAAAGCUGAUAAACAAGAAGGGUGCCCUUCAUAUUGAAAUUAUCAAGACAUUCCAAAAGCUAGAAAAAUCCAUAGAAAUGGAAUGUUCGCUUUAUUACAUGCAUAACAAUUAUUGCUGUGUAAAAAAUUAUUCCCCAAAGUAAUGGGUCAAAACAACAAAUACUCAUUAUCUCAGGGGGUUUCUGUGUGUCAGGAAUUUGGGAGCAGCUUAGCUGAAUGGUUCUGCCCUGGGGUCUUCUCAUAAGGCUGCUGUCAUCUGAAAAUGACGGGCUGAAUGAUCCACUUGCAACGUAGCUAACUCACAUGGCUAUUGGCAGGAAACCUCAUUCCCCACCUCAGCUCUACUCCACUGGUCUGCUUGAGGCUCCUCACGACAUGGCAGCUGGUUGCCUCCAGAGCGAGCAACCUGAGUCAAGGAGGAAGCUGAAAUGCCUUUCAUGAUUUGGCCUCAGAACUUACACACUGCUCACUUAGGCUGCGUUUUGUUAGAAUGAGUCACUAAUUCACAAUUGUAAAGAUAUGGAACCAAUCUAAAUGCCCAUUAACCAAUGAGUGCAUAAAGAAAAUGUGGUAUAUAUGCACUAUGGAAUACUACUCAGCCAUAAAAAAGAAUAAAAUCAUGUAUUUUGCAGCAA